CCUACGGGAGGCAGCAGUGGGGGAUAUUGCACAAUGGGGGGAACCCUGAUGCAGCGACGCCGCGUGGGUGAAGGAGUGCUUCGGCAUGUAAAGCCCUAUCGGCAGGGAAGAAGCAAGACGGUACCUGACUAAGAAGCCCCGGCUAACUACGUGCCAGCAGCCGCGGUAAUACGUAGGGGGCGAGCGUUAUCCGGAUUCACUGGGUGGAAAGGGAGCGUAGACGGCCAUGCAAGCCAGGGGUGAAAGCCCGGGGCCCAACCCCGAGACUGCCCUUGGAACUGCAUGGCUGGAGUGCGGGAGGGGCAGGCGGAAUUCCUGGUGUAGCGGUGAAAUGCGUAGAUAUCAGGAGGAACACCGGCGGCGAAGGCGGCCUGCUGGACCGCGACUGACGUUGAGGCUCGAAAGCGUGGGGAGCGAACAGGAUUAGAUACCCUUGUAGUC
rnacentral:rRNA from 1 species